CACGGGGGUUGCGAGCGUUGUCCGGAAUUACUGGGCGUAAAGAGCUCGUAGGUGGUUUGUCACGUCGUCUGUGAAAUUCCGGGGCUUAACCUCGGGCGUGCAGGCGAUACGGGCAAUACUUGAGUGCUGUAGGGGAGACUGGAAUUCCUGGUGUAGCGGUGGAAUGCGCAGAUAUCAGGAGGAACACCGAUGGCGAAGGCAGGUCUCUGGGCAGUAACUGACGCUGAGGAGCGAAAGCAUGGGUAGCGAACAGGAUUAGAUACCCCGGUA
rnacentral:rRNA from 1 species